UGCUUUUACAUAGCUCACACUGCACGCUGU
rnacentral:piRNA from 1 species